GUCCACGCUGUAAACGAUGUCUGCUAGCCGUUGGGAUCCUUGAGGUCUCGGUGGCGCAGCUAACGCGAUAAGCAGACCGCCUGGGGAGUACGGCCGCAAGGUUAAAACUCAAAUGAAUUGACGGGGGCCCGCACAAGCGGUGGAGCAUGUGGUUUAAUUCGAUGCAACGCGAAGAACCUUACCACCCCUUGACAUCCAGAGAACUGUCCAGAGAUGGACGGGUGCCUUCGGGAACUCUGAGACAGGUGCUGCAUGGCUGUCGU
rnacentral:rRNA from 1 species